CUUUUCUAUAAAGGACCCAACUUGAAAGGGAAAUUUUGCUGACAGUGAGAGUUUGAGUUUCAGUCCCUAAAGCCAGGGGCAAGUUUUUCAAGAGACCCAUACUGCAAGGCCACAUUGUGGACUAUGUAACUUCAGCUAAUUUCUUGGAAAUCAAUCAAAGCAUAUGGACUAUAUUUUAAUUCUACAGACAUUGCGUUAGGCAGAACAGCUACCAACACCCAAUCCCUGAAAUUUGUGAUUAUGUUUUGAUACAUGGCAAAAGGAACUAUGCAGAUGUAAUUAAGGUUAAGAACUUUAAAAUAGGAAGAUUAAAUCCAAGGAGUUCUUCAAAGUAAAGAACUACUACAUGCAGAAGAUUGGGAAGAAAUAACAGAGAGUGCUUGAAGAAUAGAUGUGGCUAGGACAAUAUCUCUGAAUCUCUGAAUGGCCCAUGGUGGUGACCCCCAGCCAGAGUGAACUGUGCAGCAGCAAUGGUGCCCAGUGGGCAGCAACAGUGGAACAGAAGAAACCACAGUGGAAAGGAGGCCACUUUGUAUUAAAAAUAACAAUAUUUCAUAGGAAAUUCUCUUAAAUUCAUCAAGGGAUCCAGUGGCUGUGCAUAACCUUUUCUAGCUUCAACCCAUCGAACAUGAAUGCCAUGUGUUGAGGAUGCAGAAACAAUCAAGACAGACAAGGUUCUAGCCACCCUUGAGCUAUAACCAAGUUGGAGAAAAAAGUCAGCAUGCAAGUAAACAAUAAUCAUUCAAGCUAUAUAGGUUGUGCCUCAUGAAACAAAAGGACUUUGUAUGUGAGAGAGUAAUGGAAACCAGGCACAGCUUUUAAGAGAUGAUGUCUAGAAUGGGACCUAAAGAAGAAGGAGCUCUCCAUGCAAAAAUAUAAGAAAAGCCCAUUCUAAGCGAGAGACAUCAGGAAGGACAAAGGAACCGAGGCAGGAAAGAGUUUGGUGUCUUUUAGGAAUAGAUGAGAAUCCAAUCUUGGGCUAAUGAAGCAACACAAGAUUCGCAACAGCAGGGAGUUGCUACUAUCUUUAGCUUGAAGGAGAAAAAGGAGGAGGUUGUAUUACCAGAGCCCAGGGGUGGAGUGACCCAGCAUAACAUAGAAUCUUAGUUGGUAUAUUCAAGAGAAGUUGGAUCCAAAGAAGAGAUACAGCCAUUAUUAGAGAUGCUGCCCCAGAGGGAGAAGGAGAGAUACCUUGAAAAUUUCCCUUAAUCCCUCCAUUCGUUAUAUCACCAAUGACUUCCAGUGACUGAACCAAAUCAGAUGCCAGAUGACACAAUAGCCUAGCAAAUGCAGUCUAAGAAUUCAAUCUCCAACACACCCAGUAGAAAGAGCAAAGGGUAAGAAAUUGACUUGAGAGCAAGUUGGCUCAGAACAGUAGACCCUUAAAUUCAUUAAGGGUCAACUACUUUAAUACUUUGGGAAAAUAAUCCCACUAUGCAGGGAAAGAGGAUGAAUUUUAAAAUGUCAUAUUUUAGGUAUAUAAAGAAAAAUCCUGCCUGACCCUGAUAUAAAGAAAUGAAGAUAUUAGAAAAAAGUGUUGGCUCUACAUGUCCAGGUACUACUGAUCACGACAGCACUUACAGGCUCUAAAUGGUUAACUUCCUGAAAAGUGGCUGUUAUAUGGAAAACCAUAAAACAAUCAUUGGUGAUCCUUGUUUCUAUUUAAAAAAACAUGCUCUUAGGUUCAAGUAGACUGACCCACUUUAGGACUAUCUAUCCCUAGGGAUCUUGUAAAAUGCAGAGAAUGAGAAAAACCUUUAGAAGAUGCUAAACUCUCCGCUUUUAAGCUAACUAGCAUGUUGAACAAUUUAUUUGUACAAUAUGAGAUAUGACCAUAUUGCAUCUCAUCUUAUGGAAUUACUCAAGUUAUAUACAAUUUUCUCAAGUGCUAUUGCUAGUCUGGAUGUAGGAGUGAAGAGAAUAAAUUGAGGGCUUGAUCUAUGUUUGGGGUUUUCAGAGAAGACAUAGAAAUGAAAGAAGAACAGAUUGGUUGAGAAUAUAAUCAAGUGAUUAUGGGUUCUGUAUUGAGCAGAUAAUUUAGUCCAAGAAGAUGCUUAUAGUUAUGAAAGAAAAUUCAGGAUCAAGUACAUGAGGUCUAUAGAAGGUCAAACAGUAGUUAAGAAGGAGUGAAGAAGUGUGAGAGCUAAAGGAUGUAAAGUAGAAGUCAGAAAGUGAGGGCAAUGAGGCAUUCUAGUGCAUGAAUGUGACAGGGAGCAGCUGAAGAGAAUGGAAGUGAUAGUUCUAGUUCAACGGUUCCAGGAACUGCCAUGUUAGGGAGUUAGAAAGUUGCCCACAUGGAUUUGAAAUUUGUCCUUAAUUUAUUCAUCAAAUGUAGUUAGUGCUAUUAUGUCUAUUGUUCAACGUUGCUGAGUAACAAACAACCUCAAAAAUCCUAUCGGCUUCCAAUAACAUUGUGUCUCGUGCUUAUCAGACUGUGGUUUGACUAUUUUCAGUUGAUCUAGGCUGGACCAUGUUGCUCCACGGUGUGAGACUGGAGAACUUUGCUCCAGGAUUUCAGUCUUUUCUAUGUGUGUUUAUUUUAGAGGGCAGGCUGAUGGAGAAGAAGCUACCUGGGUAUGCUCUUCUUAUUGAGAGUGACAGUACAGGAGGCAAAAGCCUAACCACACAAGCAAAUUAAAACCUCAACUCACUUCAUAGCUGCUAAAAUUUCGUUGGCCAAAACAAUUCAUGUUUUAUUAAAAUAAACUGAAAACUGAAAUUAAUAAGAGGUUUUUCUUUUCUAAUGAGUUGUAUUAUAAAAUCAUACGGCAAAAUCUUUGGUUAAGACAGAGUAAAUAUUUCAAAUGAAGAUGCAAU
rnacentral:lncRNA from 10 species